GAAAGAUGGCUUGGCUAAUCACUCUGGGAUGGACCUGCGGUGCAUUAGCUAGUUGGUAAGGUAACGGCUUACCAAGGCGAUGAUGCAUAGCCGAGUUGAGAGACUGAUCGGCCACAAUGGAACUGAGACACGGUCCAUACUCCUACGGGAGGCAGCAGUAGGGAAUCUUCCACAAUGGGCGCAAGCCUGAUGGAGCAACACCGCGUGAGUGAAGAAGGGUUUCGGCUCGUAAAGCUCUGUUGUUGGAGAAGAACGUGCGUGAGAGUAACUGUUCACGCAGUGACGGUAUCCAACCAGAAAGUCACGGCUAACUACGUGCCAGCAGCCGCGGUAAUACGUAGGUGGCAAGCGUUAUCCGGAUUUAUUGGGCGUAAAGCGAGCGCAGGCGGUUGCUUAGGUCUGAUGUGAAAGCCUUCGGCUUAACCGAAGAAGUGCAUCGGAAACCGGGCGACUUGAGUGCAGAAGAGGACAGUGGAACUCCAUGUGUAGCGGUGGAAUGCGUAGAUAUAUGGAAGAACACCAGUGGCGAAGGCGGCUGUCUGGUCUGCAACUGACGCUGAGGCUCGAAAGCAUGGGUAGCGAACAGGAUUAGAUACCCUGGUAGUCCAUGCCGUAAACGAUGAGUGCUAGGUGUUGGAGGGUUUCCGCCCUUCAGUGCC
rnacentral:rRNA from 1 species